rnacentral:rRNA from 1 species
CACGCUGUAAACGAUGUGAACUAGGUGUAGGUGGUAUUGACCCCAUCUGUGCCAAAGCCAACGCGAUAAGUUCACCGCCUGGGGAGUACGGCCGCAAGGCUAAAACUCAAAGGAAUUGACGGGGGCCCGCACAAGCAGCGGAGCGUGUGGUUUAAUUCGAUGCGACGCGAAGAACCUUACCUGGGCUUGACAUGUACCUAGUAGUGAACCGAAAGGGGAACGAGCCUUCGGGCAGGGUACACAGGUGC